rnacentral:lncRNA from 1 species
AUGUGUGUGUGCAUGUGUGUACGCACGCAGGCACACACGCAGCGCUGCCCCAGUUACGACUGCUUUCUGGGAUUUUCCAAGCAGGGCCUCUUCAAAUUCCAGACUCCACUGCUGCAGACUUUGGAAGCCUUGCGGGGACAGGCCAGGGCUCUUAGACGGCCAGACAGAGGCCGAGUGCUCUGCCAAAGCCCUUUCUCAGUCCACAGGUUUUCGGAAGCAGCAGCAGGUUUGCGGAAAGGCGCCCGCUCUGCCAGGGAAGGCAAAGGCCCAGGCAGAACCAGAAGGCAGGCCAGGGCUGCGCAGGAGCCUCGUCCAGGAUCUGCAUGGAAACCAAGACCACCAAACGCAGAGCCGUACUCCACCCCGUGUGACAGAGCCCAUCACGCCCUGGCUGCCCGGAAAGCAGGACACACAGCCCAGGGUGGAGCUGCAAGCCGGCUCAGGGCUCAGGAGCGGGCACAGGGUGCCCGCGCCUUCCAGGAACCAUGCAGGUGGAGGUUGCUCUCCUAACUCGGAUUUUCCAAAAGUAAGGAAAAGGCGGAAGGCGGGGUCAGGUUGGGCUGGCUUUUGUCUCAUCACACAGUGAACACUCGGGACCCGUGUGUGUGGCUGGGGCCGAUGAGAUCUCUGCCUCUGAGGACAGGAGGACACAGCAUUUCAUCAUGUUCGGUUCAGUUUACGAUGCAUUUUUGGGCGCCAUGUGUUUAUGCUGCAAAUGUUGUUUUCUCUUGCAAAUUACUUAACAUUCUGGGGCACCAAGGGAUCAGUGCAGGGAGGGUUUUGCUACUC